rnacentral:rRNA from 1 species
AUUGAACGCUGGCGGCAUGCCUUACACAUGCAAGUCGAACGGUAACGGGUCCUUCGGGAUACCGACGGGUGGCGAACGGGUGAGUAAUAUAUCGGAACGUGCCCAGUAGUGGGGGAUAACUGCUCGAAAGAGCAGCUAAUACCGCAUACGACCUGAGGGUGAAAGGGGGGGAUCGCAAGACCUCUCGCGAUUGGAGCGGCCGAUAUCAGAUUAGCUAGUUGGUGGGGUAAAGGCCUACCAAGGCAACGAUCUGUAGUUGGUCUGAGAGGACGACCAGCCACACUGGGACUGAGACACGGCCCAGACUCCUACGGGAGGCAGCAGUGGGGAAUUUUGGACAAUGGGGGCAACCCUGAUCCAGCCAUGCCGCGUGAGUGAAGAAGGCCUUCGGGUUGUAAAGCUCUUUCGGCCGGGAAGAAAUUGGUGGGGUGAAUAAUCUCACUAGAUGACGGUACCGGAGUAAGAAGCACCGGCUAACUACGUGCCAGCAGCCGCCGUAAGAC